rnacentral:rRNA from 1 species
GACGAACCGUGCGAACGUUGUUCGGAAUCACUGGGCUUAAAGGGCGCGUAGGCGGGUCAGCAAGUCCGGGGUGAAAUCUUUCGGCUCAACCGGAAAAGUGCCUUGAAUACUGCUGGUCUCGAGGGAGGUAGGGGUUUGUGGAACUUCUGGUGGAGCGGUGAAAUGCGUUGAUAUCAGAAGGAACGCCGGUGGCGAAAGCGACGAACUGGACCUCUUCUGACGCUGAUGCGCGAAAGCUAGGGGAGCAAACGGG